rnacentral:pre_miRNA from 1 species
AUAAAAAUCAACUAGGAAUCUCAUUUAAAAUGCAAAUUCUGAUUCUAAACAUGUGAUAUGGCCUGAGAGUCUGUAUUUCUAAUGUACUCCCAGAUAAUGCCCAC